rnacentral:rRNA from 1 species
UAGGGAAUCUUCCACAAUGGACGCAAGUCUGAUGGAGCAACGCCGCGUGAGUGAAGAAGGGUUUCGGCUCGUAAAGCUCUGUUGUUAAAGAAGAACGUGGGUAAGAGUAACUGUUUAGGUAUUGACGGUAUUUAACCAGAAAGCCACGGCUAACUACGUGCUAG